CUUUAGACCUCAGAUCAGACAGGACUACCCGCUGAACUUAAGCAUAUCAAUAAGCGGAGGAAAAGAAACUAACAAGGAUUCCCCUAGUAACGGCGAGUGAAGUGGGAAAAGCUCAACUUUGUAAUCUGGCAGCUUCGCUGUCCGAGUUGUAGUCUCGAGAGGCGUUUUCCGCGCUGAAGCAUGCAUGAGUCUGUUGGAAUACAGCGUCAUAGAGGGUGAGAACCCCGUUCGUGGCAUGCCUUUCAGUGCUUUGUGAUACGCUUUCGAUGAGUCGAGUUGUUUGGGAAUGCAGCUCAAAUCGGGUGGUAAAUUCCAUCUAAAGCUAAAUAUUGGCGGGAGACCGAUAGCAAACAAGUACCGUGAGGGAAAGAUGAAAAGCACUUUGGAAAGAGAGUUAAAAGUACGUGAAAUUGUCGAAAGGGAAACGAUUGAAGUCGGACGUGCAGGGCAACUUGCAGGCCAACAUCGGUUUCAUUUGUCGGAUAAAGGUUAAAGGAAGGUAGCAGCCUCGGCUGUGUUAUAGCCUCUGGCUGAAUACGAAAAGUGAGACCGAGGACCGCGGCGCAAGCCUAGGAUGUUGGUGGAACGGCUUUAAACGACCCGUCUUGAAACACGGACCAAGGAGUCUAACAUGCUUGCGAGUGUUUGGGUGUCAAACCCAUACGCGUAAUGAAAGUGAAUGGAGGUGGGAUCCGCAAGGAGCACCAUCGACCGGUCCUGAUGUUUACUGAAGGAUCUGAGUAAGAGCACGUAUGUUGGGACCCGAAAGAUGGUGAACUAUGCCUGAAUAGGGUGAAGCCAGAGGA
rnacentral:rRNA from 1 species